rnacentral:rRNA from 1 species
GAUGAACGCUGGCGGCGUGCCUAAUACAUGCAAGUCGAGCGAACAGACGAGGAGCUUGCUCCUCUGACGUUAGCGGCGGACGGGUGAGUAACACGUGGAUAACCUACCUGUAAGACUGGGAUAACUUCGGGAAACCGGAGCUAAUACCGGAUAAUAUAUUGAACCGCAUGGUUCAAUAGUGAAAGACGGUUUUGCUGUCACUUAUAGAUGGAUCCGCGCCGCAUUAGCUAGUUGGUAAGGUAACGGCUUACCAAGGCAACGAUGCGUAGCCGACAUGAGAGGGUUAUCGGCCACACUGGAACUGAGGCACGGUCCAGACUCCUACGGGAGGCAGCAUUAGGGAAUCUUCCGCAAUGGGCGAAAGCCUUACGGAGCAACGCCGCGUGAGUGAUGAAGGUCUUCGGAUCGUAAAACUCUGUUAUUAGGGAAGAACAAAUGUGUAAGUAACUAUGCACGUCUUGACGGUACCUAAUCAGAAAGCCACGGCUAACUACGUG